rnacentral:tRNA from 1 species
UGGUUCAGUGGUAAAAUUCUCAUCUUCCACGUGAGAAACCUGGGUCCGAUUCCCAG